UGAUGUUAGCAAAAUAAUAGGAUUUAAGAGCCAUCUUAAUAUUAUAUAAAUGGCUCAAGACUAUGCCUUGGGAGCCUAGGGUUCCAGUCCUUGCUUUGUCCCUUCUGAGUUCCUCUGAAAUAGAAUAGGAGAGAAUUUAUGACCAGUGUUUCCCAAAUUCCUAGCGUAAGAAUUGCUAGAGGUGCUCGUUGAAAACAAAGAUUCUUAGAUCCCUACCGAGAUCUACUGAAUUGGAAUUUCCAAAGGAAAAUGAUUCUUAUCCUCAGGGAAGUUUCACUCACAUAGGACAAGAUUAAGAUUCCUUCCAUCUCUGAUAUUAUUCGAUUCUGUGAAUACUAUCAUUAUACUGCCAUAAUCAAAAGAAGAAUUUUGUCUAAACAAAGGAGUGUCAGAAAACCACUGCCAAUACUCCAAAGUUUAGUAUUUGGGAUACCUAUGAGCACAAAUAAAUUGGUACAUUGCAUACAGGUGCUAUUCCAUCUACUCUGCCAGAUCAAGGAAAGCCACAACAUAAGUGGAUCUUCAAGGCAUCUGUGCCUCUGCUAGUUAACUUGACUAGUAACUUCUGACCAUUUAUUUUCCAGCCAAAGUCAUUAACCAAACCAAUUCAGAAAUGGCAGUGCUUCCUGAAAGAAUAACUAUACCUUAAUUAUUAAUGCCACAGUCAGAAAUGAAGCUGGACUCUUCUUUGGGUAAAGGUUGGUGGGAGACAGUAGAAAUGAGGGGUGUAAUAGAAGCUGAGAAGAUAUGGUCAAAGUCUGAGUUAAAGUUUAGAGAGGAAAAGACAGUUUAUCCUGGCCCUAUUUGUCAAUAAAUUAUUUGAAUAGUUAAAGUAAAAAUUUUGUGAGGGAUAGAGUUAUAGGUUUUCUCUCUUGUAUUUUCAAAUAAAAUAAUUCAUUCUGAUGUUGCCUGACCUUGUUGAUUUAGUCUUCAUUUUUCUUAUUUCUUUUAUAGCUCUCUAGCCUUUCUUUUCCCUUUUCUUUUGACA
rnacentral:lncRNA from 1 species